GGGGCACUAGCUCAACUGGAGGAGCGCCGGUCUCCAAAACCGGAGGUUGCAGGUUCGAGCCCUGCGUGCCCCG
rnacentral:tRNA from 1 species